rnacentral:rRNA from 1 species
AUUGAACGCUGGCGGCAGGCCUAACACAUGCAAGUCGAGCGGAUGAAGGGAGCUUGCUCCUGGAUUCAGCGGCGGACGGGUGAGUAAUGCCUAGGAAUCUGCCUGGUAGUGGGGGAUAACGUCCGGAAACGGGCGCUAAUACCGCAUACGUCCUGAGGGAGAAAGUGGGGGAUCUUCGGACCUCACGCUAUCAGAUGAGCCUAGGUCGGAUUAGCUAGUUGGUGGGGUAAAGGCCUACCAAGGCGACGAUCCGUAACUGGUCUGAGAGGAUGAUCAGUCACACUGGAACUGAGACACGGUCCAGAAGCCUACGAGAGGCAGCAGUGGGGAAGAUUGGACAAUGGGCGAAAGACUGAUCAAGCCAUGCCGCGUGUGGGAAGAAGGUCUUCGGAUUGUAAAACACUUUAAGUGGGGAGGAAGGGCAGUAAGUUAAUACCUGGCUGUUUUGACGUUACCAACAGAAUAAGCACCGGCUAACUUCGUG